ensembl:lncRNA
AACUAUCAUCCUUGAUGGACAACGCUUCCCACCACAUGCAUGAUGCCCUGGCUGCUCUUUACAGCUCCUUCAGCCACCGGCUGCUUCCCCCUCCCAUGGUUGUGGCCAGAGACUUGGAGAAAGUCUGGAACCUUUAGAGUACCAACUUCAGAUUAAUCUUAAUGAUGACAGAAGGGUGUUUUAAAGCCAGUACGUGGGAAAACCAUUCGCUUAUCAACUGACUGACGUCACCGCUCAAAGUCUUCCAAGAAAAUGAGGGACUUUAACCAAGACCUGGAUGAAGGACCCUCCAUCAUUCUGUAUCCAGAUGAAUCUGAAGUCAUCAAUAUCCCUGGGACACAAAGACCUUUUAUUCUAGAAGAAUAUAAAGCAGAAUUAGGCAAACCAUAUUCAAGGAUCACAAUUUUUAUCUGCCCAAAGAAGGACUUUGAAGAAGAUAAGUUGUCAUGUUUUGCCAUAGCCAUUUAUUUAUGUGGCUAAAUGUUUCACUUUUGUCUCAAUGCUGAGAGAUAAAUACAUAAAUAAGUUUAAAAAUAGUUCCCCAUGGUGUUUUCUGCAUUCAUCUUAAAAUUACUGCAAGGAGUUGCAAGUUGGAGUUGAACGUUUUCCCCUCAUAGUCAGACCAUGUGCCAAAACCAACUGUUUCUGGUGCAGUGUCUCAAACCAGCUUCCCAUUCAUCACCAUCUUCUGGAGUUAACUUCUUUUUAAAUGUUUGUCUUUGAAUGACACCAAUCAAGCGACCUUUAAUUGUUUCUUUUUUGCAGUUUUUGCAGUUGGAGAAGUGUCAUUUCUGACUCUGACACAGAGAUUGUCAUAAAAAGACCCCUCACAACGUAGGACCUAGCUAACACGCUACCAUGUGAACCUGCCCAAUACAGACGAAUACAGAGGAUAUUCGUCCAAGUACCUCCAGAUGUCCUGGAAUGCAACUACACAGACCGGUAUGCACCUAUUGUCAUUGAUAACGACUACGAUGAUGACGAAGAUGAAGUUCUAACUGUCAAAGAAAAUAAUGAGGCAUCUUCUAAAGAACCAAUGUGAGUCAUGAGUGCUAUAUUAUUAUCCAUCAUUCUGUCUUACGCGUAGAGUACGAGUAGUCAUUAAACAAAUAAACAUCACUGUAUUAAGAAGGGUCAAAUGACCAUUUCAAAAACUAG